rnacentral:ncRNA from 1 species
CAAAGGUUUGGUCCUAACUUUACUAUCAGCUUUAACUCGAUUUAUACAUGCAAGUCUCCGCACCCCCGUGAGGAUGCCCUCGAUCUCCCGCCCAGGAGCAGAGGAGCCGGUAUCAGGCACAAUACUUUUAGCCCAAGACGCCUUGUUUAGCCACACCCCCCAAGGGUAUUCAGCAGUGAUUGACUUUAAGCCAUAAGUGAAAACUUGACUUAGUUAGAGUUAAGAGGGCCGGUAAAACUCGUGCCAGCCACCGCGGUUAUACGAGGGGGCUCGAGUUGAUAGACCACGGCGUAAAGUGUGGUUAUGGGAAACAUGUUUAACUAAAGCUAAAGAGCCCCUAGGUUGUUAUACGCAUCUGGACGUUCGAACCCCAAUAACGAAAGUAGCUUUAACCCCUUCUGCCAGACUCCACGACAGCUGAGAAACAAACUGGGAUUAGAUACCCCACUAUGCUCAGCCGUAAACUUAGAUACCCUCCCACAAUAGGUAUCCGCCCGGGAAUUACGAGCGACAGCUUAAAACCCAAAGGACUUGGCGGUGCUUCAGACCCCCCUAGAGGAGCCUGUUCUAUAACCGAUAACCCUCGUUAAACCUCACUACUCCUUGCCCACAACCGCCUAUAUACCACCGUCGUCAGCUUACCCUGUGAGGGUAAAGCAGUAAGCAGGAUGAGCAAAGCUCAAAACGUCAGGUCGAGGUGUAGCGUACGGAGUAGGAAGAAAUGGGCUACAUUAUCUGGCACAGAUAAUUUACGGAAAGUCACCUGAAAUUGGAACUUCGAAGGUGGAUUUAGCAGUAAGGAGGGAGCAGAGUGCUCUCCUGAAGCCGGCUCUGAAGCGCGCACACACCGCCCGUCACUCUCUCCAAACAACGCCAAUACUAAGUGCUUAACGUAGAACACAGUUAUAAGGGGAGACAAGUCGUAACAUGGUAAGUGUACCGGAAGGUGCACUUGGAACAAU